rnacentral:lncRNA from 10 species
AUGGAAUGUGCUAAUUAGAGCGGUUUGGUGCAAAUCAGCCCGUGCAGGUGUGGGGAAGCCGCUUCUGUUCUUUUCAGCACCGGUGGCAGCAGCAGCUCAGGAGUCUCUUAGGUUGGGCGGGGCUUGAAUCAAUGAUGAGGCUCUAUUCUGAAACACCUUUUGGUGUGAAGCGGGCUUCUCUUCUUUUUGAAGAUGUGGGCGUGCGUCUGUGUGUUUGAUGGCGGGACACAGAGGGUUGGAGCUGGGGAAACACUUCAGGAUGAAAAGUAUUGUUCCUGAUGCGUCUGUGAGGGUGUUGCCAAAGGAGAUUAACAUAUGACUCAGUGGACUGGAAAGGCAGACCCACCCUUAAUCUGUCUGGGCACAAUCUAAUCAGCUACCAGCAUUGCCAGAAUAAAUGCAGGCAGAAGAAUAUGAAAAGACCAGACUGGCUUAGCCUCCCAGGCUACAUCUUUCUCCUGUGCUGGAUGCUUCCUGCCCUCGAACAUCAGACUCCAAGUUCUUCAGCUUUGGGACUUGGACUGGCUUCCUUGCUCCUCAGUUUGCAGAUGGCCUAUUGUGGGACCUAUUACUCCUUAAUAAAUUCCCCUUUAUAUAUACAUCUAUCCUAUUAGUUAUGUCCCUCUAAGGAACCCUGACUAAUACAUCAACUCUGCUAGCUUCUGGACUUCCAAGAACCAGAACUGUAAGAAAAUAAAUGUCUAUUGUUUAAGCCAACCAGUCUCUGGCACUUUGUUAUGGCACCCAAGUAGACUAAUACAGAG